AGAGUUUGAUCCUGGCUCAGAUUGAACGCUGGCGGCAGGCCUAACACAUGCAAGUCGAACGGUAACAGGAAGCAGCUUGCUGCUUUGCUGACGAGUGGCGGACGGGUGAGUAAUGUCUGGGAAACUGCCUGAUGGAGGGGGAUAACUACUGGAAACGGUAGCUAAUACCGCAUAACGUCGCAAGACCAAAGAGGGGGACCUUCGGGCCUCUUGCCAUCGGAUGUGCCCAGAUGGGAUUAGCUAGUAGGUGGGGUAACGGCUCACCUAGGCGACGAUCCCUAGCUGGUCUGAGAGGAUGACCAGCCACACUGGAACUGAGACACGGUCCAGACUCCUACGGGAGGCAGCAGUGGGGAAUAUUGCACAAUGGGCGCAAGCCUGAUGCAGCCAUGCCGCGUGUAUGAAGAAGGCCUUCGGGUUGUAAAGUACUUUCAGCGGGGAGGAAGGGAGUAAAGUUAAUACCUUUGCUCAUUGACGUUACCCGCAGAAGAAGCACCGGCUAACUCCGUGCCAGCAGCCGCGGUAAUACGGAGGGUGCAAGCGUUAAUCGGAAUUACUGGGCGUAAAGCGCACGCAGGCGGUUUGUUAAGUCAGAUGUGAAAUCCCCGGGCUCAACCUGGGAACUGCAUCUGAUACUGGCAAGCUUGAGUCUCGUAGAGGGGGGUAGAAUUCCAGGUGUAGCGGUGAAAUGCGUAGAGAUCUGGAGGAAUACCGGUGGCGAAGGCGGCCCCCUGGACGAAGACUGACGCUCAGGUGCGAAAGCGUGGGGGAGCAAACAGGAUUAGAUACCCUGGUAGUCCACGCCGUAAACGAUGUCGACUUGGAGGUUGUGCCCUUGAGGCGUGGCUUCCGGAGCUAACGCGUUAAGUCGACCGCCUGGGGAGUACGGCCGCAAGGUUAAAACUCAAAUGAAUUGACGGGGGCCCGCACAAGCGGUGGAGCAUGUGGUUUAAUUCGAUGCAACGCGAAGAACCUUACCUGGUCUUGACAUCCACAGAACUUUCCAGAGAUGGAUUGGUGCCUUCGGGAACUGUGAGACAGGUGCUGCAUGGCUGUCGUCAGCUCGUGUUGUGAAAUGUUGGGUUAAGUCCCGCAACGAGCGCAACCCUUAUCCUUUGUUGCCAGCGGUCCGGCCGGGAACUCAAAGGAGACUGCCAGUGAUAAACUGGAGGAAGGUGGGGAUGACGUCAAGUCAUCAUGGCCCUUACGACCAGGGCUACACACGUGCUACAAUGGCGCAUACAAAGAGAAGCGACCUCGCGAGAGCAAGCGGACCUCAUAAAGUGCGUCGUAGUCCGGAUUGGAGUCUGCAACUCGACUCCAUGAAGUCGGAAUCGCUAGUAAUCGUGGAUCAGAAUGCCACGGUGAAUACGUUCCCGGGCCUUGUACACACCGCCCGUCACACCAUGGGAGUGGGUUGCAAAAGAAGUAGGUAGCUUAACCUUCGGGAGGGCGCUUACCACUUUGUGAUUCAUGACUGGGGUGAAGUCGUAACAAGGUAGCCGUAG
rnacentral:rRNA from 1 species